rnacentral:tRNA from 1 species
GUGCCUAAAAUAACGCUAAAUUAAGGGGUUUUUAUGACCUUGCAAGACUCAUAAUCUUUUGGUCCUAGGUUCAAGUCCUAGUGGGCCCA